UUUAGUGAGUUUCUUGUUGGUGGAGAGGGGUUACGUUAAAGUAGGCUCUCCUGGUCAUUGCCCAGGCUCCGCUCUAAUCGCGAUCCUUGCUUGAUCAGGCGGAUGGAGGGGAGUUUGGCCCAUAAACGAGCCCUGGUGACGGGCGCUGGGAAAGGCAUUGGUAGAGCCACUGCUAAGGCUCUACUUGCAUGUGGUGCAGAAGUUAUUGCAUUAACCAGGACCCAGUCUGACUUGGAUAGCCUUGUUCAGGAGUGCCCUAAAAUAUUGACUAUUUGCGUGGACAUUAAUGACUGGGAAGACACAGAAAAUGCCCUGAAGGAUGUCGGUCGCAUAGACCUUUUGGUGAACAAUGCUGCAGUUGCAAUUUUGCAGCCAUUUCUGAGUGUCACAGAAGAUGCAUUUGAUAAAAUGUUUGGCGUUAAUGUAAAAGCACUGUUACAUGUUUCACAGAUAAUUGCAAGGGGAAUGAUAUGUUGUGGAGGUGGUGGUGCUAUCGUGAACAUCUCCAGCCAGGCGGCUCAAAGUGCUCUGAGAGACCAUGCUGUAUACUGUGCUUCAAAAGGAGCUGUGGAUAUGCUGACAAAAGUGAUGGCACUUGAGCUGGGACCACACCAGGAAAUACAGAGCGGCAUUUCCAGAUGCUAUGUUGAUGUUGGGAGAAUUCCAGAUCAGAGUGAACGCAGUGAAUCCCACUGUAGUGAUGACCGCAAUGGGUCGGAUUGGGUGGAGUGACCCAACAAAAGCUGCAGGAAUGUUGUCACGUAUCCCACUGCAGAGGUUUGCAGAGGUAGAUGAUGUGGUGAAUGCAAUAAUCUUCCUCCUCAGUGACAGAAGUUCGAUGAUAAAUGGAGUGACUCUGCCUGUGGAUGGUGGAUUCCUUUCUUCAUGACCUCGUUUAUUUGUAGAUAAUGGCUCAUUAAAGGCCUGAAUGGAUUCCCAUUUAAUUACUUUCCAUACCAUCCUAAAUGAAUAAAAGACCCAAAACUCUG